rnacentral:rRNA from 1 species
UACGAAGGGGCUAGCGUUGCUCGGAAUUACUGGGCGUAAAGGGCGCGUAGGCGGAUGUUUAAGGUCAGAGGUGAAAGCCCAGGGCUCAACCUUGGAACUGCCUUGAUACUGGAUGUCUUGAGUGUGAGAGAGGUAAGUGGAACUCCGAAGUGUAGAGGUGAAAUUCGUAGAUAUUCGCAAGAACACCAGUGGCGAAGGCGGCUUACUGGCUCAUUUCUGACGCUGAGG